AUCAACGCUGGCGGCGUGCCUAACACAUGCAAGUCGAACGAGAAAGCCCUGCAGCAAUGUGGGGUGAGUAAAGUGGCGUACGGGUGAGUAACACGUGGAUAACCUGCCACCGAGCGGGGAAUAACCCUGGGAAACCGGGGCUAAUACCGCAUAACAUCCGGUUGCGAAAGCAGCGGGAUUAAAACCCGGCAACGGGGCUGGGUGAGGGGUCCGCGGCCGAUUAGCUUGUUGGCGGGGUAACGGCCCACCAAGGCGAUGAUCGGUAGCCGGCCUGAGAGGGCGGACGGCCACACUGGAACUGAAACACGGUCCAGACUCCUACGGGAGGCAGCAGUGGGGAAUUUUGCGCAAUGGGGGAAACCCUGACGCAGCAACGCCGCGUGGAUGAUGAAGCCCCUUGGGGUGUAAAAUCCUUUCGGCAGGGACGAAUCCCGGGCAACCGGGUUGACGGUACCUGAAGAAGAAGCCCCGGCUAACUCCGU
rnacentral:rRNA from 1 species